rnacentral:rRNA from 1 species
UUUCCGGUUGAUCCCGCCGGACCUGACUGCUAUCGGAUUGGUACUAAGCCAUGUGAGUCAUUGUAGCAAUACAAGGCAUACGGCUCAGUAACACGUAGUCAAUCUGCCCUAUGGACGUGGAUAACCUCGGGAAACUGAGAAUAAUCCGCGAUAGAUCAUAAUGCCUGGAACGGUUUAUGGUCCAAAUGAUUCGUCGCCAUAGGAUGGGACUGCGGCCUAUCAGCUUGUUGGUGAGGUAAUGGCCCACCAAGGCUAUUACAGGUACGGGUUCUGAGAGGAGAAGCCCGGAGAUGGGUACUGAGACACGGACCCAGGCCCUAUGGGGCGCAGCAGGCGAGAAACCUUUGCAAUGUGCGCAAGCACGACAAGGUUAAUCCGAGUGUUUCCUGCUAAAGGAAUCUUUUGUUAGUUCUAAAACCACUGAUGAAUAAGGGGUGGGCAAGUUCUGGUGUCAGCCGCCGCGGUAAAACCAGCACCUCAAGUGGUCAGGAGGAUUAUUGGGCCUAAAGCAUCCGUAGCCGGUUCUGUAAGUUUCCGGUUAAAUCCACUAGCUCAACUAAUGGGCUGCCGGAAAUACUGCAGAACUAGGGAGUGGGAGAGGUAGACGGUACUCGGGAGGAAGGGGUAAAAUCCUUUGAUCUCUUGAUGACCACCUGUGGCGAAGGCGGUCUGCCAGAACACGUUCGACGGUGAGGGAUGAAAGCUGGGGGAGCAAACCGGAUUAGAUACCCGGGUAGUCCCAGCUGUAAACGAUGCAGACUCGGUGAUGCACUGGCUUUUGGCCAGUGCAGUGCCGCAGGGAAGCCGUUAAGUUUGCCGCCUGGGAAGUACGUACGCAAAGUAUGAAACUUAAAGGNAAUUGGCGGGGG